rnacentral:rRNA from 1 species
UACGAAGGGGGCUAGCGUUGCUCGGAAUUACUGGGCAUAAAGGGCUCGUAGGUGGCCAACUAAGUCAGACGUGAAAUCCCUCGGCUUAACCGGGGAACUGCGUCUGAUACUGGAUGGCUUGAGUUUGGGAGAGGGACGCGGAAUUCCAGGUGUAGCGGUGAAAUGCGUAGAUAUCUGGAGGAACACCGGUGGCGAAGGCGGCGUCCUGGACCAACACUGACACUGAUGAGCGAAAGCCAGGGGAGCAAACGGGG